rnacentral:rRNA from 1 species
CCUGCCCAAUGUUAGCAAUAAUGAAUGGCCGCGGUACCCUGACCGUGCUAAGGUAGCGUAAUCAGUUGGCUUUUAAAUGGAGUCAGGAAUGAAUGGGAAAACCGGGUUUAGCUGUCUCCUUACUAUUUUUUUGAAUUUACUGUUUAAGUGAAAAAGCUUAAAAUUGACAAAGGGACGAGAAGACCCUUAGAAUUUUUUUUAAAAUGACAAAUUCUCAUAAUAAUUUUGUUGGGGCGACAGAGAAAUAUUUAAAACUUUCUUUAAAUUUACAUGCCGAUAUUGUUAAGCAAGAAUAAAUUACCUGAGGGAUAACAGCAUUAUUCUACAGUUGAGUUUGUG